rnacentral:rRNA from 1 species
ACKGCUCAGUAACACGUGGCUAACUUACCCUCAAGACGGGAACAACCUCGGGAAACUGAGGCUAAUGUCCGAUAGGUGGGGAGGCCUGGAAUGGUCCCUCACCAAAAAGGAACUAGUGGCAUGCUUGCUAGUUUCGCUGGAGGAUAGGGCCGCGUCCGAUCAGGUCGCUGGUGAAGUAACGGCUCACCAGGCCUAUAACCGGUACGGGCCGUGAGAGCGGUAGCCCGGAGAUGGGCACUGAGAUAAGGGCCCAGGCCCUACGGGGCGCAGCAGGCGCGAAAACUCCGCAAUGCGCGAAAGCGUGACGGGGUCACCCCGAGUGCCGUCCGCUGAGGAUGGCUUUUGCCUGGUCUAACCAGCCGGGUGAAUAAGGGGAGGGCAAGUCUGGUGUCAGCCGCCGCGGUAAUACCAGCUCCCCGAGUGGUUGGGACGAUUAUUGGGUCUGAAGCGUCCGUAGCCGGCCGGAAAAGUUCCCCGUUAAAUCUGGCGAUCCAAUCGUUGGGCUGCGGGGAAUACUCUUCGGCUUGGGGGCGAGGGAGGUCGGCGGUAGUCCCGGGGUAGGGGCGAAAUCCUAUAAUCCCGGGAGGACCACCAGUGGCGAAGGCGGCCGACUAAAACGCGCCCGACGGUGAGGGACGAAAGCUGGGGGAGCGAACGGGAUUAGAUACCCCGGUAGUCCCAGCUGUAAACGAUGCAGGCUAGGUGUUGGGACGGCUACGAGCUGUCCCAGUGCCGCAGGGAAGCCAUUAAGCCUGCCACCUGGGAAGUACGGCCGCAAGGCUGAAUUCUCACGAACAAUUUU